UAAUCCAUUAGCCCGUCGUAGUGCUGGAAGUAAUCAUCCGGAGAAUACCUGACUGCUAUUACCGUAGUAAUCAUCGGCAAUGAUUCAUUAACGGACGCAACUCCGCUUGAGGGAGGGGGUCUGCUGGCUGAUUAGGUAACGUUGGCGGGGUAACCGGCCUCACCAAGCCUUCGAUCAGUAACUGGUGUUGUAGUAGCACGACCAGUCACACGGGCACUGAGACACGGGCCCGACUCCUACGGGAGGCAGCAGUAAGGAAUAUUGGUCAAUGGGCGAAAGCCUGAACCAGCCAUGCCGCGUGGAGGAUGAAGGUCCUCUGGAUUGUAAACUUCUUUUAUCUGGGAAGAAAUCCGGAAUUCUUUUGCGGUUGACGGUACCAGA
rnacentral:rRNA from 1 species